AGAAAAAGGCAAACCUAUUGAAAAAUAGGGACGCAAAGCCGAGGAUCUAAGGUAAGGUGCCAGACUUACUAGGGUGGCCGGGUUACC
rnacentral:ncRNA from 1 species